rnacentral:lncRNA from 1 species
AGAGGUGGCUGGAAAAGGAUUUUUCCCAACUUAAUUGAAUUAGCAUUCAUAAGGUGGCUGUUUAUCCCUUCAUAAAAUUGGUGAGAUUAGCCUUGACUGGCACCUAAUUUUGCUCCAUGAAAUUCUGGAUUCUACUUGGACUAAUAGGUAUCCAAAGUGGCUGACAGCAAGAUGGGCUUAUUUCCUCCAAGCGUCAGCUUCUAUUCAGGCAUGGCUAAUCGAGACAGAGAAAUGAUUUCAGAAUGAAAGGAAGACAUGUGGAAUUGAUUCGUUUGUGAGUGGCCAGUCAGUGUCUCUGCCAAACCUUUCAUCUGCAAUUUACACUGCCCAAGAGCCUCCUUUGUUCUUUCUCUUCCAAAUCCCCCAUGACUUCAGGGAGAGGUUUCUGCAUUAUGUUGUCUCCAGAUUGAUAGGGAAAGAAGUUGUAAUAUCCCAGGAUGAGAAGCAGGUGGGCCAGUAGGUUCAUGAUGAGAAUAGUACAAAAACCCAGCGAGAAGUUUUUCUUGGUUUCAGAUGAUUGCUUUUGAAGUAAAUGGUAGAACUUUCACCAUCCUUCCUAUUUUUUUGGCACCUCAAGUUACAAUUUUUUCUUCUUCCUUAUAAAUCACUUAUAUAAUAUUUAUUUUUGUAUGGCAUAACUAGAAACUAAGGUAUAUUGUAAAAGAUUCUUUAUUCUGAACAAAACAAUCAAAUCAGAAUGCCUAUUUUUCAACAGUGGUAGAGCUUGUAAUAUAUGUUCGUUGAAAGUUACCUAUAAUACUUGCACCAGUAUUGAAAAAACUUAUGAAAAAGAGUAACGUGUUGGCCUCAGGGUUUUUGCUCAUGGUUUCCUCAGUGGUGCUGUCCGAGAAGUAUUCAGGUGGUGACCAUCACUGGUAUGAGUUUCUCAGCAGGGUUAGGGCAUAUCUUUGCAUGGACUUCGGUGGAAUCAUUACUGAUUAGGAGGACAGUUGUUGGGGGCCAUCUGCCCUGCACAGGAAGAGAUCUUGGACUCAUGAAAUGAGAUACCCCUCACCCCCGAAGGGACCAAAUGGAAACUGACAUCAGAAACUCUGAUACAAAAUCAUUUUAAUUGCAUCAAAUGGCCUUAAUUCUGAGUUUGGUAGGCUUAUCAAUAUGUUGCUUACAGUUGGGGUAGGGGAAGUAGAGGGAGAGAAAGCAAGACAUUU